GGCGGUGGUUUUCUGAGUGACAGAAGGUUGAAGAACCCCUGAGCAACGCGACACCAGAAGGGCUAGGGAGAUUGGUUGGAAAGACAGUGGACUGAUCCAAGAACCCAGACUUGAUCAGCCCAGACUGAGGGGACCUUAAGAGAUGGGAAGACUGACAUUUACAACUUCCCCAACUGGCCAUGAUGAUCUUAAGUACAGCCACUGAGGCAGCCAAUUUAAGAAUCUUUUCCUGACCCUGCUCAGAAUUCUAUCUUCCUUCUUUCUGCCCCAAAUAAAAUUCCCAUUUCCAGAGUUCUUGGUAACAGCUAAAUGCUAAUCUAAUUAAAGUCACUGCACUCCAAAGAAGAGCUGAGGCCGCUUAACACAUCUAGAGAGUGUUUUACACUUGAAAAUCAGACAUCUCUAGUUGGAAGAAAAAAUACAUGGAAUGAGGAAGCAGACCACUCCUGCCUUCGAAAUCCUCUUCGUGAGGUUUGUAGAAUUCCUACGAACUCAGGAAAGACAUCAGCAGAGGGCAAUGAUCGUCAUAGCCAGGUAGGAAUGCGUGAAAUUAGGAAUGAGGGAAAGCUUACUAGAUAUGGAAUGCCCGCCCUCUUUGCCUCCUUCCAUAAAUCUCCACCCAUCAUCCUUCAAUGACCUCGAGUUUCAUCUCUUUCCAGACCUUCCCAGCUCACACUGACUCCUCCUUCUCUGAACCCCUACAGAUGCACUGUCACCUCCGUUCAUACAGUGUUUACUUGGUCCUUUCAGUCCCAUGGGGUUUAGAGAUCUGUUCUCCUAACAGCUUCUUGCCUAUUUCACACGGCCUAUUGCAAAACUAGCUACACACAGAAGGCACCCACCCCAGCUACUUGUCGAAUUACAACCUGAUGAUGGAACCACUGGAAACUAAGAAUGCCAAGGUUAUAAAGAAAUCACAGCAUUCACCUUCUGGAAGAAAAAGACUAUUUCUAAGAAAGUAAAAUAAAGGGAUAAAAGCACUUAAAAAGGAGCAUAAUGCAUAACUCCCAGUCUUGACCUGGAUCUCUAUCAAAUCCUCUCCCUGUCACAGAUGCUCUACCUUAAAUGAAUCCUAUUUUGGCUGAGAAAAUAGUUGUGUGCCUGUGGGUAAAUGACUAAACUCUUUUCACCUCCCUAAGUUAUGCAGGGUGUUAGCCGCUUACUGGCAAGAAGUCUCACGCUAUAAAGGGGCAUUCUGCCUCCUCAUUUAAGGGUUUCAUGUGUACGGUGUGGGAUACUCUCUUGCUGAGUAGGUGGCCAAGAGAAAAAUACCUCUAGUUUAUUUCUUCUGGAAGUCAUCACAUGAAACUACCAGCAUUGCUGGGGGUGGUGGCUCAUGCCUGUAAUUCCAGCACUUUGGGAGGCUGAGGUGGGUGAAUCUCUUGAACCGAGGGG